rnacentral:pre_miRNA from 1 species
AAAAAGACAAACCCUGAGUUUCCGUGUCUAACUUUGACUGUCCGUCUUAUAUGAAAUUUUUUUAUAAUUCGUAUUUUUAUUGUUGUUAGAUGAUAAAACAUGAUUAAUAUUUUAUGUGUGACUUGUCUUUUUAAUUUUUUUUAUAAUUUUUUUAAAUAAGAUGGAUGGUCAAACGUUGGACACGAAAAUCAGGGUU